AUAUUUUUCCCAUCAGCCAGUGCGACAUCUCCUAUAAAACCGCCCUGCACCCAGCAGAGGUCCUCACUCCUGCGCUCUUCGAGGUGUACGAGAUUUGGCUACUGAACAAGACUGAGCUUGAGGAUAAACCCUGUGGUUCACAGUCGCAUGGAGUGUUAUCAAAGGCCAAGGUGGAGUCUGAACAUGGAGCAGGGAGCAAGUGGUACUUCGAAAGGUGUACAAUGCUGGUUGAAUUGGCUGCAAAACAUCCGGAACAGAUGAUGCAGUCUUUUUUUCGUGGAUCCUGUUUUCAUGGUCUUGGAUCAUCUCAAGACAAGUGGCAAACUGCUAUGAAGUCAAAUUAAAGCUGCUGUAAAGCAAACCCUGCUAGAGGGCUGACUGUACUCAUGCCAAAGUGGAGAUGUGUAAAGCCUGGCUGGAAAGGAGCAUCUUUAAAGUCCUGUGUCAGUACGGUGCAAUUGAUGCAAAAGAAGUUGAAGACAUGGCUCUACUUGUUGAAUUUACAGGAUGUCUUGAAGACUAGCUUUACAAGAGGAAAAUGCUUGAUUUCCUCGCACUGAUCUGGGAAAUGCAACUGAUAAUCCAUUUUUGCCCUGUGUUGCAAAAAUCCCAUCUUUUUAAUCAGUAGUCUAAAGUGCUGUCCUUUGGUGAAAGCCUGUGGGUAAACCUGCGACUACUGAAACAUGUCAAAUGCUGUUCAACUUGGUGUUAAUAAAGAGAUUUAAAAAAAAA